rnacentral:lncRNA from 1 species
GAAACACACGGUGGAUCCUGUGGUGCAACCAGAGAUGGAGGGGCUUGCUUGACUGGAGUAAAGAUUCUCUCACCACAUAUUUAAUCAAGUUAGCUCUUGAGGUGUACUUGACGACGCAAUUAGAGGUGAGGAAGUCUCCUUUACCGAAAAAAGUCCCCCUGUCGAUGUCCAUAGAUGUUCAAUUCGAUUAUAUUUUAGCAAUGAUAAAUGAAAGGG